ensembl:snRNA U6 U6 spliceosomal RNA
GUGUUUAUUUUGGCAGCAUAUAUACUAAACUUGGAACAAUGCAGAGAUGAUUAGGUUGGCCCUUGCUCAAGGAUGACACACAAAUUUGUGAAACGUUUCAUUUUUUU